CCUACGGGUGGCAGCAGUGAGGAAUAUUGGUCAAUGGUCGGGAGACUGAACCAGCCAAGCCGCGUGAGGGAUGAAGGUACAGAGUAUCGUAAACCUCUUUUGUCAGGGAACAAAGGCAGUGACGUGUCCCCGGAUGAUUGUACCUGAAGAAAAAGCAUCGGCUAACUCCGUGCCAGCAGCCGCGGUAAUACGGAGGAUGCGAGCUUUAUCCGGAUUUAUUGGGGUUAAGGGGUGCUCAGGCGGUCUGUUAAGUCAGCGGCAAAAGCCCGGGGCGCAACCCCGGCCCGCCGUUGAAACUGGCAGUCGCGAGUUGGAGAGAAGUAUGCGGAAUGCGCGGUGUAGCGGUGAAAUGCAUAGAUAUCGCGCAGAACUCCGAUUGCGAGGGCAGCAUGCCGGCUCCACACUGACGCUGAGGCACGAAAGCGUGGGUAUCGAACAGGAUUAGAUACCCGUGUAGUC
rnacentral:rRNA from 1 species